rnacentral:lncRNA from 1 species
CUUAGCCAUUUCACAAGGUGAAUGGGGUGAAACACUGUAGUGUUGGUCGCAUAAUUUGAGCUGAAACACUAAAAUAGCUACCUCUGCAAAAAUGACUGCAAUGUAAAGGUGAACAUAUUUACUACCCCCAUGUUCUACUGUCUGAGAAGGGAUCCCUUCGCUACAACAUUUCAUCUCUCAGGGCCGCAGUUAGGGUACACUGGGAUUGUGCAUGAAAGGGAUUGUCACUCUCGAAUUGGGUUCCUUGGCCACACUAGACGCUGUUCCAAGUCCUCCAUACAGAGCACGUUACCAUAGUCUUUCGAGACUGAAGGAUGCUUAACUAACUAUCAGACACAGUCUCAAAAGUCACCCGUGUCAAGAUGUGUGGAACAAAAGCAGAACAAAAACAGAAAGAAAAGGAUUCUGGACCUUAAAGAUUAAUUUAGUUUAGUCUUAGCCAUUUCACCAGGUGCAUGGGGUGAAACACUGUAUUGUUGGUCACAUAAUUUGAGCUAAAACACUAAAACGGCUACCUCUGCAAAAAGGACUGCAAUGUAAAGAUGAACAUAUUUACCCCCAUGUUCUACUCUCUGCCCUCACUGGGAUCCCUUCGCUACAAUGUUUCAUCUCUCAGAGCCGCAGUUAGGGUACACUGGGAUUGUGCAUGUCUUGGCAUCAGCGUCUGGAUCCCAGAACAUAAGAAGACUUCUCCAUGUUAAUGAGACUCCUGUGUUUGUCCACCUCCUUCCGAAUAAGGAAGAAGAAAAGGAGACACAUUCUUCCAAGGCUGAUGGAUCAGAGACUCACACUAAGUAGUGUCAAUCCUAAUUUGUGAGAAUAUCUUUGGAAAUGUGUGGGCAGCAUGUAGGAAUUCUCAGUAGUCUUGACAAGACACACAUUUCAGAGAUGUACGGUAUAGACCAGAGAUUAGAAAUGCUAUUUUUUUGGAUUAUAGCUCCAAUAUUCACCCAACCAGCAUAUCUGGCUGGAGGAUUCUGAGGGUUGUAGUCCAAAAAGGUAAUGUUUUCAACCUCAAGCAUGGACACACAAGUCAAAUAAACUACGGUACAGGGACUGGCUUUGAGGAGCC